rnacentral:rRNA from 1 species
UACGUAGGGGCAAGCGUUGUCCGGAAUUACUGGGCGUAAAGCGUGCGUAGGUGGUUUGUUAAGUCUGAUGUGAAAGCCCUGGGCUCAACCCGGGAAGUGCAAUUGAUACUGCUUGGCUUGAAUGUGGAAGAGGGUAGUAGAAUUCCACGUGUAGCAGUGAAAUGCGUGAGAGAUGUGGAGGAAUACCGAUGGCGAAGGCAGCCCCUGGGCCAAUACUGACGCUCAUGCACGAAAGCGUGGGAGCAAACAGG